GAUGUAUAGGCAUGCUAAAAUGUAUAUUCUUUAUUAUCUGAAAUAAGACCCUGCAAAUAGUAUGAUGCUCUAAAUUUUUGUUGAGGGUUCAACUAUACAGAUAGCACAAGCCCACAAUCUUAAGGAGAUCUUAGGGAGUUCAGAGUUGUCUUUUCCAAAUAUUGCUCUUCUGAAGCCAUUCUAAGUGCUGCUCACAUUCCUUGAGGAAGGCAUCUCUCAUGUUUGUCGUACCGCAACCCUCACACACUAAACGGUGAUGACCUGUAUUUUCCCAAAUAUCCUUUGUUUUUUAAAUUCAUUUUUAAAAUUUAAUAUAUGUUUUCAAAUACUUUAAAACUUCUGGGUGUAGUGGUGGACACUUAUAAUCCCACACACCAGAGGUGGAGGCUCUCUGAUCUCUGUGCAUUUGAGGCCAACCUAGUCUAUAUAGCAAGUUCCAGACCUGCUUGGGCUACAUAGUGAGAUUGGAUCUCAAUUAAAAAACAGUGAAAUUAAAUCACAGUUAACAAUCAAGCAAGCAAGUAAACAAACAUAGAGACCUCAGGUACAAUCUAAGUAGCUUCAGGUUUGAAAACAUGGCACAUAGCUUAUGUUCAGCAGUCAAGACCCCAAGGAAAAAUUUGCCUUGUGAAUUAUUCAUUAAUUUGACAAAAUGAGUGAUGAGAGCUGGUCAUUUACCUAAGUUAGUACUUUGACCCCAGUGUCUUACACACAGCUCAGUAACCUGGCUAUGUUUAUAAAUAGUGCUUAAAACCAUGCUUUGCUUGAUGAAUGACUUAGGUUUUUCACACCGCUAUUAUGGCGGUGAAAAUCCCUUCUCUUCAUUGUAACCUGUAGUUGGGUAUGAAACAGUUAUGUUGAGGGAGUUAAAUUAUGGCUUACCUUUUAUUGAUGUGCCCUGCUUCUGUUUCAUCUGUCAGUUAGUAAUGCUUCUGUUGAUGGUACCAAGCCAAGUGUCUGGUAAGUGAAGAAUCUUGUCCAGAAUUAAUACUACGCUCACUAGAGAACCUAGGCCGAAUCCAACUGACCUCCCACAUUUAUACACUACAGGGUCCUGCUCAUUCACUCUCAGUGUUUAUCAAGCCUUUAUUAAGAAAUGUCUUCACAGGCAGUUAGUCAUGUUGAGGUGUUUUCGUUUUAGUAAAUGAAUAUAUGCUGUUAGGAAAGGGGAGCUUCUGAGAUCAGGCCUGUGCGGUCAUGCAGAGAGCACUCCUCACCUCAGAUCCAAAUAUGCAAAGGAGCUUGUUACUUCUCUCUCCAUGGUCAUCCCCAAGGAGAGAACAACUAAUGUAUAGUACUGUGCUUUUGUUUAUUUAGCAAAAUUCUUGAAAGCAAAAAGCUAUUGUGCCUUAAUAUUAUAUUUCAUUAUCCUUUUUACAUGACUCAUACUUGUAUUUGGAGUGAUUUGUACAUGAAAUUUGGCAAUAUGGAGGUUGUGGUUAGGAGGACGGGAAGUGAUCAGCAGAGGAAGCCCUGGGGAAGUAAAAAUUACAAAUAUGAAAGCUGUAAAUUGCAUGUAUGCGUUACCUCUGAUGCUGAAACAACAGCCUUUCAUCCUCCAUGUGUCCCCACAGCAUCCCACUCACUAGCAAAAUACCUAACUUGUGUGACAACUGCUUCUAUUCUUUGCCCAGUAGCUUUAUAGUAACAUAGGAAUAAAUUUUUCAGGUGGUUUAGUCAUGCACGCCUAGUACAGAGUGACUGACAUAGUAGAUCAUCAGCAAUGUUUGCCAAAGGAAUGAGCAAAUGCCUCCAUAGUCCUCUGCAAUGCAGAGAAGUUAAAGUCAUCUAUUUCAGUGGCUGGACAGAGUUAUGAAGAACAAUGUGUACUGGGUUUCUCUUACUUUUCCUUCCUUUUAUAUGUGAACAUUCUGCUGAUUCUUUUGUGACAUGUUUGAAUUCAUGUGUUAAUUUCCUUUUUCUGCUUUGGUGUUUCCUUCUACUGUUAGUCGUUAAACAUGCUUUUGAUUUUGUCUUUCUCUUUCUCUCUUUUUUUCUUUCUCCUUCAUCUUGUUUAUGUUGUACGGAAUUGACAGCGUAUUGUCAGGGCAGAAAUAGUCAAGUACCCGGAAGAAGAUAACCAACACCCCAGCUCUGCUCAGAGUAGAGUCUGUUCAGUACAGUAGUGCAGGUACUUAUGGGUGAAUUAUUGCCAUUUGGGGAGGGGAUGAGGGCUAGUUAUAUUAUCUUGUUCUUCCUUAUGAAGGAAAAUUAUUAAUUAAAAUGACAUGUCUUGGUUUAGAACUUUGAAAAAUUGGUCUUUUACCAUGAAAAUUAUAAAUUAAACAAGAAAUUGAAAACAAAUACCAUUUUAGUUACUUUCAAUUAUGUUUAUCUUUAUGGGUGUUUAUUACACAUGUAGUGCAGAGGAUUGAAGCAGUUAUUUCAUUAGUAAUUACUUACCAUUCUCCCCCCAACCCUCAGAAAUAGAUGGUAAUUGAAUGGUUAUUUAAAAUGACUUUAAAGAAAGUCUUGAAUUGCCCUUCUCUCUUGAUCUGUGUACAUAGACUUAGUAAAAGCUAAAACUAAAAGAGGGAUUGUUUUCAUUUCAAUUUUUACUUGGAGAUGAAGUAUUAGACAUUUUGAUAAAUUCAUUGUUUUAUACUGAGCAUAAGAUGGAAAGAAGUGUGAAGGUAGCUUUUGGUUUAAGUUGAUUUAUAGGCAUGGAUAUGAAGUGACUUUUAAAUUCCUCAUUAUGUCAUGUUUUAUUACAGUCAUUAUGCUUAACCCAUAGUGAACUAAGAGUUUUGAGAGGAAUGUUUUGAAAACUGGAAACAUUUUUAACAGUGGAGUUUCUCAGGACUUUUCUGUUUUCUAUGUGAAUCCUUUAAGACACACCUCUUUUUCUAAUUCACAAAGUUAUGGCCAAGUGUAAUGAUCAUGAAAAGAGU
rnacentral:lncRNA from 1 species